rnacentral:rRNA from 1 species
UACGUAGGGUGCAAGCGUUGUCCGGAAUUAUUGGGCGUAAAGAGCUCGUAGGCGGUUUGUCACGUCUGCUGUGAAAACUGGAGGCUCAACCUCCAGCCUGCAGUGGGUACGGGCAGACUAGAGUGCGGUAGGGGAGAUUGGAAUUCCUGGUGUAGCGGUGGAAUGCGCAGAUAUCAGGAGGAACACCAAUGGCGAAGGCAGAUCUCUGGGCCGUAACUGACGCUGAGGAGCGAAAGCAUGGGGAGCGAACAGG